ACUGUGUACUCUCUGUUUAGGGUCAGUCACAGUGGUCAGGUAUUCUGCCACUGUGUACUCUCUGUUUAGGGUCAGUCACAGUGGUCAGGUAUUCUGCCACUGUGUACUCUAUGUUUAGGGUCAGUCACAGUGGUCAGGUAUUCUGCCACUGUGUACUCUCUGUUUAGGGUCAGUCACAGUGGUCAGGUAUUCUGCCACUGUGUACUCUCUGUUUAGGGUCAGUCACAGUGGUCAGGUAUUCUGCCACUGUGUACUCUAUGUUUAGGGUCAGUCACAGUGGUCAGGUAUUCUGCCACUGUGUACUCUAUGUUUAGGGUCAGUCACAGUGGUCAGGUAUUCUGCCACUGUGUACUCUAUGUUUAGGGUCAGUCACAGUGGUCAGGUAUUCUGCCACUGUGUACUCUCUGUUUAGGGUCAGUCACAGUGGUCAGGUAUUCUGCCACUGUGUACUCUCUGUUUAGGGUCAGUCACAGUGGUCAGGUAUUCUGCCACUGUGUACUCUCUGUUUAGGGUCAGUCACAGUGGUCAGGUAUUCUGCCACUGUGUACUCUAUGUUUAGGGUCAGUCACAGUGGUCAGGUAUUCUGCCACUGUGUACUCUCUGUUUAGGGUCAGUCACAGUGGUCAGGUAUUCUGCCACUGUGUACUCUAUGUUUAGGGUCAGUCACAGUGGUCAGGUAUUCUGCCACUGUGUACUCUCUGUUUAGGGUCAGUCACAGUGGUCAGGUAUUCUGCCACUGUGUACUCUAUGUUUAGGGUCAGUCACAGUGGUCAGGUAUUCUGCCACUGUGUACUCUAUGUUUAGGGUCAGUCACAGUGGUCAGGUAUUCUGCCACUGUGUACUCUCUGUUUAGGGUCAGUCACAGUGGUCAGGUAUUCUGCCACUGUGUACUCUCUGUUUAGGGUCAGUCACAGUGGUCAGGUAUUCUGCCACUGUGUACUCUAUGUUUAGGGUCAGUCACAGUGGUCAGGUAUUCUGCCACUGUGUACUCUCUGUUUAGGGUCAGUCACAGUGGUCAGGUAUUCUGCCACUGUGUACUCUCUGUUUAGGGUCAGUCACAGUGGUCAGGUAUUCUGCCACUGUGUACUCUCUGUUUAGGGUCAGUCACAGUGGUCAGGUAUUCUGCCACUGUGUACUCUCUGUUUAGGGUCAGUCACAGUGGUCAGGUAUUCUGCCACUGUGUACUCUCUGUUUAGGGUCAGUCACAGUGGUCAGGUAUUCUGCCACUGUGUACUCUCUGUUUAGGGUCAGUCACAGUGGUCA